UACGUAGGGACCAAGCGUUGUUCGGAUUUACUGGGCGUAAAGGGCGCGUAGGCGGCAUGACAAGUCACUUGUGAAAUCUCUGGGCUUAACUCAGAACGGCCAAGUGAUACUGUCGCGCUAGAGUGCGGAAGGGGCAAUCGGAAUUCUCGGUGUAGCGGUGAAAUGCGUAGAGAUCAGCAGGAACACCAAGGCCGAAGGGACCUACCUGGGCAGUAUCUGACACUCAAGUGCGACAGCGUGGGGAGCGAACCGG
rnacentral:rRNA from 1 species